UACGGAAGGGGCAAGCGUUGUUCGGAAUCAUUGGGCGUAAAGGGCGCGUAGGUGGUUCUGUAUGUCUACCGUGAAAGCGUACGGCUCAACCGUAUUUUGUCGGUGGAAACUGCAGGACUUGAGGCUGGGAGGGGCUGGUGGAAUUCCCUGUGUAGCGGUGAAAUGCGCAGAUAUCAGGAAGAACACCCGUGGCGAAAGCGGCUCUCUGGGACGGUACUGACGCUGAGACGCGAAAGCGUGGGGAGCGAACAGG
rnacentral:rRNA from 1 species